UACGAAGGGGGCUAGCGUUGUUCGGAUUUACUGGGCGUAAAGGGCGCGUAGGCGGGCCGCUAAGUCAGAGGUGAAAUCCCAAGGCUCAACCUUGGAACUGCCUUUGAUACUGUCGGUCUUGAGUUCGAGAGAGGUAAGUGGAACUGCGAGUGUAGAGGUGAAAUUCGUAGAUAUUCGCAAGAACACCAGUGGCGAAGGCGGCUUACUGGCUCGAAACUGACGCUGAGGCGCGAAAGCGUGGGGAGCAAACAGG
rnacentral:rRNA from 1 species